CAGUGAGAUUUCUAUGAUAAUCAGACUCCAUCCAAGUUUCCACGACAGUCUACCACCUUUCGGAUCCCAAUCGAGCUCCCGUGAGAGCCGAACUUCUACUACAAACGGUGUACUCCGAACUCCUACAGCGGGUUGUCUAUCCCAAACAUCUACUGUAAGCAAAUUUCAUUCAAGCCUCUACUAUAAAUGAAUUUCCUCC
rnacentral:lncRNA from 1 species